rnacentral:ncRNA from 2 species
ACAUAAGAAGAUCGCGCCGGUGCCCAUUGGGCUUGAAAGGGAAUGCGGUGCGGAUAGCGUGGCUAUCCAAUUCCGCGGCUGUCCCUGCAACUGUAAGCGGCGAGCGCGAUGCACUGUGGAACCCGCCGUCUUCAAAGGGGAGGCGAUGGGGGCCAGCCACUGGGCCAGACGGCCCGGGAAGGCCGUGCAUCGCUGCCUUGACCCGCGAGCCAGGAGACCUGCCAGCGCAUGGUCGCUCUU